ensembl:lncRNA
GGGGGAGGAGGAGGAGGAGGGAGGAGGAGGUGACAAACAACUAUGUUGAUGUUUACCAGAUGUUUCUGUCCUGAGUGUCAGACUGACAAGAGCCCCACCAAGGAGUCUGAGAUUAACCAACCAACCCUGUUAGAGGUCUCACCUGUACAGUAUCAGAGGUCUGGGCCCAUAUUCAUUAAGAGUCUCAGAGUAUGAAAGAGCAGGAGCGCUGAUCUAGGAUCAGUUUAGCCUCUUAGAUCAUAAUGAAUGAGAUGAUAUGGACAGAUCCUAGAUCAGAAUGAAUGAGAUGAUAUGGACAGAUCCUAGAUCAGAGUGAAUAAGAUGACAUAGACGUGGGGGGCCCAGGUCAAACCCGUACACUAUCAGAGGUCAGAGGUCGUACCUGUACAGCACAGGAGAUUGGUUGGUGGCACCUUAAUUGGGGAGAACGAGCUUGAGGUAAUAACAGGAGUGGAAUGAACGGAAUGGAAUCAAUACGUCAAACACCUGGUUUCCAUGGUUUCCAUGGUUUCCAUGGUAUCCAGAUGUUUUGCUGCCAUUCCAUCUGCUCUGUCAUGGCUCUUCUUACUGUUCUCCUCUCAGCAGCCUCCCGUGCUGGACAGUACCUCCAUCCUCUAAGAUGGCGUGAUUUCUCCUGCUGUAGGAUAUCCAAGCUUUUCACUCAAAUCUCUUCUUAAUCUUUUUCUGUCAACGAACCCUUGACAACAAAUUGCUAAAGUAGGAAUGAUGAUAUUUUUUUUAUUUUCCUCUUAGAAGAAAAAGGUGUGGAUAUUGUAUAAAAAUGCACCUGAAUACACCUACUGCUAACACUCUGACCCCAAGUCAGUUCUGAAUGUGUCUUGUUGCAUCGGUCUGGGACAGAUAUGCAGAUCGUAGACCACGGAAGUCCAACUGAUUUCAACAGAGUUUAUUUGACUGAAUAGCUGUUUGUUUAAGUGCCAUGCAAAGCAUUUUCAGGAACAUUAUUUAUUGUUUUGCAUGGUCAAGCCCCAUGGUCAAGCCCCAUGGUCAAGCUCCAUGGUCAAGCCCCAUGGUCAAGCCCCAUGGUCAAGCCCCAUGGUCAAGCUCCAUGGUCAAGCCCCAUGGUCAAGCCCCAUGGAAUGUUAUGUUUAUUUUAAUGUAAAUAUUCUAAGCUAAAAUGUGCUUGUAUUUUGUGUAAAGUUAAAGUAGCAUCUAUAUGUUGUUUGAGAAAUAAAUCAUGAUGCCACUAUGGUGUGUUGUCUGUUCUCCGUGCAUUAUCAUAGCCCGGGUACCAGUCUGUUCUCCGUGCAUUAUCAUAGCCCGGGUACCAGUCUGUUCUCCGUGCAUUAUCAUAGCCCGGG